rnacentral:rRNA from 1 species
UGACUUACGGGAGGCAGCCGUGGGGCCUCUUGCGCCCUUUUCUCCCUCCUGACGCAGCGACGCCGCGUGAGGGAUGAAGGUCUUCGGAUCGUAAACCUCUGUCAGCAGGGAAGAACGGUCACUGUGCUAAUCAGCAGUGAAUUGAAGGUACCUGCAAAGGAAGCACCGGCUAACUCCGUGCCAGCAGCCGCGGUAAUACGGAGGGUGCGAGCGUUAAUCGGAAUUACUGGGCGUAAAGCGCUCGUAGGCGGUAUGUCAAGUCAAGGGUGAAAUCCCCGCGCGCAACGUGGGAACUGCCUUUGAAA